GUGGGGAAUAUUGGACAAUGGGCGAAAGCCUGAUCCAGCCAUGCCGCGUGUGUGAAGAAGGUCUUCGGAUUGUAAAGCACUUUAAGUUGGGAGGAAGGGUAGUAACCUAAUACGUUGCUACUUUGACGUUACCGACAGAAUAAGCACCGGCUAACUUCGUGCCAGCAGCCGCGGUAAUACGAAGGGUGCAAGCGUUAAUCGGAAUUACUGGGCGUAAAGCGCGCGUAGGUGGUUCAGUAAGUUGGAAGUGAAAUCCCCGGGCUCAACCUGGGAACUGCUUUCAAAACUGCUGGGCUAGAGUACGGUAGAGGGUGGUGGAAUUUCCUGUGUAGCGGUGAAAUGCGUAGAUAUAGGAAGGAACACCAGUGGCGAAGGCGACCACCUGGACUGAUACUGACACUGAGGUGCGAAAGCGUGGGGAGCAAACAGGAUUAGAUACCCGUGUAGUC
rnacentral:rRNA from 1 species